GACGAACGCUGGCGGCGUGCCUAAUACAUGCAAGUCGAGCGAAUGAUGAGAAGCUUGCUUCUCUGAUUUAGCGGCGGACGGGUGAGUAACACGUGGGCAACCUGCCCUGUAGACUGGAAUAACUUCGGGAAACCGGAGCUAAUACCGGAUAAUUCUUUUAGCCUCAUGGCUUUAAGCUAAAAGGCGCUUCGGCGUCACUACAGGAUGGGCCCGCGGUGCAUUAGCUAGUUGGUGAGGUAACGGCUCACCAAGGCAACGAUGCGUAGCCGACCUGAGAGGGUGAGCGGCCACACUGGGACUGAGACACGGCCCAGACUCCUACGGGAGGCAGCAGUAGGGAAUCUUCCGCAAUGGACGAAAGUCUGACGGAGCAACGCCGCGUGAGUGAUGAAGGCUUUCGGGUCGUAAAACUCUGUUGUUAGGGAAGAACAAGUGCUAGUUGAAUAAGCUGGCACCUUGACGGUACCUAACCAGAAAGCCACGGCUAACUACGUGCCAGCCGCCGCCGUAA
rnacentral:rRNA from 1 species